GUGCUCUCCAACCAGGAAGUUGUUCUCCUGCCUGGCAGGGAUAUUUUCUCUGCUAAUUUUGUUGAAAACAAGGUUCCAUCUGAAGAUAUACUCCGCAUCAAAGAUGUCCCUACCUUCAUGGGGAGUUCAAACCACAUCUCAAAAGUUACAAGGGAGGAGAGCUGAGCUGGAGGAGGAAGAGGAGCGUGAGAGUAAAAGAACGGACGUCCAGACUUAUUCUAAAGGGACUAUUAAAGGAAACGCCUUCGACAAUGACAAGAACAGUUAGAAUACCCUGCAGCUGAAGACUUCCUAAUGCUGAUGGACUGUAGGACCCCCUGUACCUGUAGACGUUGAUGGGCUCGGGGUUGGAGCUCCAUACUCGGAGGCUCUCCUGGAUGACCUGCUGGAUUUUCGGGAGGAGAAAUGAGCUGGGAGAAAACAAGAAGAAGUGAGAAAAUCACAUCACAUCUGAAAGCAACAGAUUAUUUAACUCUCGGACACAGGAGCCAGACAAUAUGCAAACGGGAACCCAAACCAGGAAGUGAUGUUAGAGUUGAAAGCUUCUCCGCCAUGUACAGGCUGCAGGAGGUGAAGUCAGAGAUGGUGCACUUGUUUCCACUGUUGAAGGAAGUUCAGGGGCCCAGCAGACCAGACAAGCCCCCAGCAGGCUCCUUCCUCCUGGGCUCAGAGGGACCACCGGGCCCGGGCCCUCUGGAGAGAAAAUACUGACCCUGAUUAAGGAAGGUCAACUGGACUGUGCUGAACAAUGGACAAUCAUACGACUUUGUGUGUGUGCCUGAAGUCUCGAAACUUUGUGUAUAAGCACAUGACUAUGUGAGAGCUCUCGCAGGAUGUAAUCCACAAACUCAAAUUAUAAUAUUCUGUGUGAA